CCGAGACGAGCCCCAAAGGCGGAUACGGUAAGCCCUACGCAGACAAACAACAAUCGCGAUCGUGAUAAACGCAUGUGUGGAACCACCAUCACACCAUACCAGACGACUAUUUUUUUUCUUUUUUUCGGUUCAUGUGUAUUGGUGGUGUGCCCUAAAACCGAAACACUACCCCUUGUCAACAACAUACGAAGGUGGUUGAAAAUGGUCCAAAAAAUUUAACGGUACAAAGAACGCGACACGGGUGUGCACGAUAAGAUAACACAGACACGUUACGUUCCCCCACGGAUCUCGUCUGAUGGUGGGCUGGAACGUUCUUCGUUGCGUUUUAAAAUCAAACGUACUGCGAAAAUGACUGACACGUGUUGUGCUACAUGGUGGGAGGGUAUGUGUGUGUGUUUCUUGCAUUUGAUGACGACAACUGACUGUAGUCAACGGCCCCAACCUUGAGCAAUGAGGAACUGUGCCCGGAAUGAAGAUCAACCCGAUGUGUAAUGCGUAUAUGUUUGACCCCGUUGCGCACGCCGAACGCGCUAUCAGAGUAGGCCAGGGCUUCUUUUCUGAACGGUUGUCAUGCCAGCGAAAGGUCGGUCGAUGCACACGACACCAGACGACAGGCGCACAAAAUUCGGUUUUCUCUCUAUUUUCUUUUCCCUCUGUAUGAUUACGUUGAAGUUGAAAACAACAUUAUUUUAUUUCGGCAGUACUUCAUAUUACAAAACUUAAAUCAGAUAUUAAAAUGAUACUUUCUCAGGUAAGCUAGUUUAGAAAACAAAAACUAAACAUUUCUCUCAAUUAAUAGGACCACCAAUAUGGCCAACGUUUGUGAUUGCUUUCAUACUCUUUGCAAAUUGAUACUCUUCUGUCAUUUUUUAAACGUGGUUAGCCUCCUCCUGCUCCAUCUCCAGACGCUCCUCAUAAUUAUUUGCUCUCACACAACGGUCGGAAUCGGAUGACCGUGCAAAAAUCUCAGUCCAGAGGUCCAGGAACGUCGUCAUUUCGUCAAUCAUACUCGCAGCAAUGAACUUAACGCUACUAUCGCGCGCCCCGCUAUCACCCGCAGUUUUGCAGUAGUCGAAAGCGAAUUUCACAACAGAUGGGGGACAGAGCGACCCGCGGCAACCCACGGACCCCCUUCCUAUCAACCCCCAGCCGGCUUGGGGGAGAAUAAGAGGAGAGCGCGAGUGUGUUUGUGGCUCACUUCUCUAUGCUCGUGCUCUGAAAUCUCGGUGCCUUCGUGAAUGUUAGUGCACGGUUGAUUGAAUUAAAUAACAUUUCAUUUCGCUUUCAAACAAACGGGCAACUGCCCUUCGCCCCCUUAGCCGGUGCGCUUCGAUGUUGGCAACACGCACACACACAGCCGCAACACGCACCCUCCCCUUUUGAUGCUUUUUCUAUGCUCUGUUACUAAUCGCAUCCAGCAUUCAAUUUGGAUUGGCGGUCUUUGUGUGUGUAUUGCUUUUUUGUCGAUGAUCGCGCUUUAACCUUGAUACUAGCCGCGAACCGUUCCGGAAGCCGCCGCCACCACGAAAUCGCUUAUGUUACCAAUUACAAAAUAAAACAGUGCUCGUGUUACAGCAGAUUGCUGAUUUUGCUGUACUCUGGUGUGUGGUGGUGGCCGCACUACACACACAGUAACGGAGCGACUCCCCCUUCGCUUUCCCGUUUGGAGGCUUGGCUGCGGUCAAAAAGGACGUCACGGAACCGGUUUUCGCACGAAUAGAUAUGCUGGUAAGCAGCCCUUGCGAUUGGCGGCGCGUGUAGAUGGAUGUGUGUUUGUUUUUCUCAGCUUUGGUAGACACACACAUACACACAGAAACAGUGUAUUUGGAGAACGGGUUUGCAUUUGAAUGUUAAAAAACUAACAUAUUUUGGCUGUAUUGUCAGGUCAUUAGUAUCUGAGUAUAGUCGUGUAAACAUUUACGCGUGCGGUUUGCAUUCAAGGGGUGGAUCAUGGAAUGAUCGUAACGUUCUCACAACACAGCGACAUCGGAAUGGUGUACAAAUCCUUUGCUUAUUUAACAAAUGUACAAAAGUUUAUAUUAAACAUAAUAUCCCUAGCUAUUGUUUCUGUACUUUUUCUUCGUUGAAUAAGCAGUUUAAAUGAAUUCACGUGGUUGUCUCUAGUUCUCCCUUAAUUUUUUAAAAAGGUGAGCUAAAUGUUCAAGCAAAAACUAAACUGGACGGGAGCUUUGAUAGGUAUGAAAAUUAUACCGAUGUAAAGGGAUGAAAUAAAACGUACAAAAAAAAAAAAAAGAA